rnacentral:RNase_P_RNA from 1 species
AGGCGGGUAAUCGCGCAAAAAUAUUUUUUUGUGAGGAAAGUCCGAACAUCCAAAGUACGGGACCGCUUGGGAAAGCCAAGUGCGCGCGAGCGUGAGGAAAGUGCCACAGAAAAGAAGACUACAAAUUUAUUUUGUACAGGUGCAACGGCGAGGUAAAAGCUCACCGCCGCUUUUGUGAGAAAGCGGGUCAUGGUAAACCCCGGUCGGAUGCAAGUUUGAGUUUGCAAGAAGAAUCGUACUUUUCGCUUAUUUUAAUAAGAUUGCAAGAAAAAAACGCAUUAGACAGAUGAUUACCUUAAACAGAAUUCGGCUUACAGCCUGCUUUU